AUUUCAUGAGUUGGGCAUUGUAUCAACAAUGCUUUAAACCUCAGCCAUGACUCAUGAAAAAGCUCACCUUCCAUCUGUUUGAAGGUCAAGAUGCUAUCCCUGAAUCU
rfam:Solanum tuberosum cultivar DM 1-3 516 R44 scf00049_21, whole genome shotgun sequence.